rnacentral:tRNA from 1 species
GCGCGCGGCGGCGCGGAGGCGGCGUUUCGGGCCUGCGGCGCCUGGCGCGGCGUUCCGGGGCGCUCGGGCGUG